CGAUAUGAGAUUCCAAGGGCCGCGCCAUGCAUUCUUGGUUCUCCUCACUCACCAUAUAUCAGAGGCUCCAUCCUCUCGCCUCGAAUCAUUCACGAAAGGCUUUGCCGUUACAAGUUGUUUGCCAUGAUUUGAGCUGGGUGGAGGUGUCUCACUUCUUGAUCUUGGGGGCAUUCCUGGUUGAUUGUUGGGAGCGAAGGAGGAGAUGUGCCUAAACAAAGGUGCCGCAUGUCACGACACGAGGACUGACACCAGACCAUCCACUCCCUCACCAAGAAGUCAAC
rnacentral:lncRNA from 7 species